rnacentral:rRNA from 1 species
AAAGGGUGCGUAGGCGGCCUGUUAAGUCAGGGGUGAAAGACGGUAGCUCAACUAUCGCAGUGCCCUUGAUACUGAUGGGCUUGAAUGGACUAGAGGUAGGCGGAAUGAGACAAGUAGCGGUGAAAUGCAUAGAUAUGUCUCAGAACACCGAUUGCGAAGGCAGCUUACUAUGGUCUUAUUGACGCUGAGGCACGAAAGCGUGGGGAUCAAACAGGAUUAGAUACCCCGGU